UUAACUGGAGGGAGGUGGGGAGGACGUCAAGUCAUCAUGGCCCUUACGGGUAGGGCUACACACGUGCUACAAUGGCCGGUACAAUGGGUUGCGAAUCCGCGAGGUGGAGCUAAUCCCAUAAAGCCGGUCUCAGUCCGGAUCGGAGUCUGCAACUCGACUCCGUGAAGUCGGAAUCGCUAGUAAUCGUGAAUCAGAAUGUCACGGUGAAUACGUUCCCGGGCCUUGUACACCCCGCCCGUCACCCCAUGGGAGUGGACUGCCCCAGAAGUGGUUAGCCUAACUUCGGAGGGCGAUCACCACGGUGUGGUUCAUGACUGGGGUGAAU
rnacentral:rRNA from 1 species